UAUAGCCGACGCCUUGCGACCCUCUUUUCACGAUCAAUAUUUGCAUAAAGUACGAGCCGUGCCUGCACGCGCCGUGAUGACCGAAACAGUGUAGCUGCGCUGACCGAGAACUCCCCCGUGCCGCCAUGUUCCUCUUUGAGAGUUCCUAUGUGGACUGCACACUCGCCCACCGGGAGAGGGGAAUAGAGCAGUUAUACCGCCCCACAUGACAGGCUGCGGCGCACGCCCGUCCACAAGCCGAACGACUACUGCCUGCCCGCGUAGACGCACUUGGUCAGCACUCGGGCCAGUGGUGAACAGGCGAGAAAUGUGUCGCAUCGUUGCGUACCCUUGUUGAUGGAUUCGCUCAGCUCUCGCUGGCGAUGGGCGUUAAAAGUCUCGAGUGCUUCCUACGAAACUCAGGCGCUCCGGGAAGAAACUACAGCCUAUCGUUGACGCAACGCCACCUGAAAUCUCGAUGGUCAUGUCUUGACAAGUACAUCAAACCAGAACUGAACCGAAAGGUUAAAACCAUUACAAUGAACCAAAACUAAACAGCAGCGGCCGUCCCACAACAAUGGGAAGCCGCUGCGUAUUGGCAUGGAUCUUUCCAUCACGAAGAACCUUUGUACAAUUAUAUCCGACUGGG
rnacentral:lncRNA from 1 species